rnacentral:rRNA from 1 species
GAUGAACGCUGGCGGCGUGCCUAAUACAUGCAAGUCGAGCGAACAGACGAGGAGCUUGCUCCUCUGACGUUAGCGGCGGACGGGUGAGUAACACGUGGAUAACCUACCUAUAAGACUGGGAUAACUUCGGGAAACCGGAGCUAAUACCGGAUAAUAUAUUGAACCGCAUGGUUCAAUAGUGAAAGACGGUUUUGCUGUCACUUAUAGAUGGAUCCGCGCCGCAUUAGCUAGUUGGUAAGGUAACGGCUUACCAAGGCAACGAUGCGUAGCCGACCUGAGAGGGUGGGGGGCCAACACGGGACCGGACCCCGGCCCGGGCACACGGGGGGCGGAACAAGGGGGAAUUCUUCCGGAAAGGGGAAAGUUUGAAGGGAGAAACGCGGGGGGAGGAAUAAGGGUUUCAGUACCUAAAACCUUUUUUAUGGGAGAAAAACAAAUGGGGAAGUACCUAGGCAGGUCGGCAGGGUACCUAAUAAGAAAGCCAGGGCAACUCCGGGC